AUACUUACCUGCUGAGGAGAUACCAUGAUCACAAAGGUGGUUUUCCCAGGCGAGGCUUAUCCAUUGCACUCCGGAUGUGCUGAUUUUGCAAUUUCUCCAAAUGCGGGAAACUCGACCACAUAAUUUGUGGUACUGGGGGACUGCGUUUGCACUUUCCUCUA
ensembl:snRNA U1 U1 spliceosomal RNA